CACCGGCGGACCAAGUGGUCUCCGCAAUUACUGGGUUUAAAGAGUCCGUAGCUGGCCCAUCGCAUCCUGGGUGAAAUACCAGAGCUCAACUCUGGUGCUUGCCUGGGACACGGGUGGGCUUGGAACUGGGAGAGGGAAAGGGAAUUCCAUGGGUAGGGGCUAAAUCCUAUAAUCCAUGGAGGACCACCGGUAGCGAAGGCGCUUUCCUGGAACAGGUUCGACGGUGAGGGACGAAACCUAGGGGA
rnacentral:rRNA from 1 species